rnacentral:lncRNA from 1 species
UAGAAAACUUACCUUUCUAUCAUGCCUCACAAAGAGCAUCUGAAGCAAACUUCAGAUUUGGAAGGCCUUUGACUAAGUUGAGCUUGUUGACCUUAAAGAUUAUUCUCAUGCUAACAUGGCCCAACCUUCUAUGCCAAGUCCAUUAUUUUUUGUUUACUGACAUAAGGCAUUUUACAUUUUAUAGAUGUUGUUUUUAUUCUUAACACAAAAAAGUACAAAGCCAUAUUUUUGACUCACAACUUUACAGGAGUUUUGGUUAAAUAUAAUGUCAUAACCAUUGUCACUUAAUUGACUUAUGGACAAGAGGUUAUGAAUUAGACCUUUAACUAAUACAAAAUUUAUAAUAGAGGGGAGAUAACUGUUGCAAAUUGUUCCUAUACCAAUGGUCUUAACCUUCUGAUUUUAUCCAAAGCCUACAGAACCUCCAGGCUUAAGUUCCAUCUCUUGGAACAUAUGCCUUCUUCCCGUUAUGUGUCGAGAGCACCCAGAGUAUAGGUACCAUGACUGGUGUCUCAACUUUGUUAUUAAGUAUAUCUAAAACAUAGAUUAUUUUGUUCUUAGGUACCCACAUAUUUUUGGAUGAUUUAUGGUUAGUUUUCCCAUAGGUUUUAUCAACCCAUGGUUUCUGCAUAAAAUAGAUAUCAUGUGUGUGACCAUAAGUAAAAUAAGAAUACAGAGCUUUUGGUUUUAUCACUAUUUAUUUGAGUUUAGAUUUAAACGUAUAAUUCUUUGGUGGAACAUAACCAAUGUCUCUUUUCCUAUUUUUACUUACUCCAUAGAUCAUGGAAGUCAUCUUGCUUCUAUAUAUGUUUCUUACUAGAAAUUUUUAAAAAGAUGUUUCAUAAUUCUUUAAGACACACUCAUAAUCCAUAUGAGCUUCUAAAAUAAUUUAUUUCUCUAGUUUUUCACUCUUGCUUUGAGAGCAAAGUUUUCUUUUUCAGAACUAUCAAUUUUUUCUUUUAAAAUAGAAUUUUCUUUUAUCAUCUCACUAUGGGAUGCAUAAUGAAUUACAUGAAUCUGUUUCAGAUUCUUGUAUCUUUUCUAAAGUCUCUGACUUUUUUCAAGAAUUUAUGCUAAGCAUAAUUCAAGUUCAUAACGAGUUAGAUGAUAAAAUACAUCUUUAGAGUCUAAAUGUGAUUCUGAUUCGGAGGCUUCAGUUCUAGCCAUAAGUGUCAUGUUAGCUUGCUAUUAUUCAGAGUCAUCCUCGGAAGGGUCAGAGUCAUCCCAUGUCGCCAUUAGCUCUUUCUUAUUCUCUCUGAAGAAUUUCUUCUUAGGAUUUUCUUUAUUGAGUUUGGGACACUCAUUUUUGUAAUGGUCAUGUUAUUUGUACUCAUAGCAGAUAACCUCUUUGUCAACUCCAAACUUCUUCUACUGAGAGGUUGACUUAGAGUAUCCCCUUGUUCUUCUAUAGCCUAUGGACUUCCUUUGUCUUUGCUUCCAUAGUUGGUUAACCCUUUGAUGAUAGUCAGCCAUUUCAUAUAUUUAGUUGAAUAAUUAGAUUAAAAUAAGUGAAAAUCUAGCAAAUAUAAGGAAGAAUGAUGGGAAAAUAGCUAAGUGUGAAAAUUGUGUACUUAGUGAAAAUUUGAGUGAAAAAGGAGAAAAAAAGAGUGAAGCUUCAGAAAUAAUUACAUCCAGCAUCGAACAACAUCGUGUAAGCGAUAUGGCAUUAAAGUCGUAUCGCGCGCACAAUGCAGGAUAUCACACGUGCGAUGAUCACCUUUCUAGGCCUUUUUCUGACGCGUUUCGGUCCAUUCUAACGCCUUUAAGAGGGGAUUUUUUGCAUUUUCACAAGGGUUAUAAUUUUGGGAGAUUGAAGCACAAAUUAGAGAGUAAAAGUGGUGAUUUUUGGAGCAUUUGAAGCCAUUGGAGGCCAUCUCUUCAAGGGAAUUCUUAUGUUAUCUUUGUUUAUCAAUUAUGGUAUUUGUAAUUGCACUAUGAGUAGCUAACCUCCUCUAGGUUAGGUUGUCUUAUGAUGAACCUAUUUCUAUGUUGAUUUGACCAUUGUGUGAACCUAUUGAUCUAUAAUCUUAUUUAAUUACUUCUUGUUCGCAAUGCUUUUUAUGUGAGAUACUCUUUUAAUAUGAUUUUGGGCACAUAGGGAAUACUGACCAUUAGUCUAUGUGUUGGACCUAGGACAAUUGUUGUACUUACGUUGGUAAAAUAGGGAUAGGAGACUUAAAGUAGUGACAUAGAGAAUUAACAUUCUAUACAUCACCUAACCCUACUUACGCUAGCAGACUAGGAAUAGAAAACUUCGAGUAGUGGUUAGUGAGUUAUUUCGUGACGGAUCAAUUAUAAUUGUUUUGAUAAUUCACCGUUACGUUAUUAUGAUUAGAUAACUAAUACAGGGCAACAAACAUCAACAAGAGAGGAAUAAUGGAUUCUACAACACAACCUGACCCCUUUUGUGACAUUGUUUUCUCGUUUGUUUACUUUUUGCAUUAAAACUGGAAACCCCCACCCUUUUACUAGUUUUUUAAAAUUGCACACAUUUUUUCUUUCUUGGAGGAAAUUCAUGUGGAUUCGAUCUUUUUUAUUACUUCGACAUUAUCGGUACACUUGCCGAUAAGUCAUUAAUUUUUUGACGCCGUUUCCGAGGACUGUUGAUUUUUCAACAAGGCGACGUUUGUGCAAUUGAUUUUAUUUUAUUUUUACUUUUAGUCUUUUUAAUUUCUUGUUUAUCAUAGUGCUACUGAGGUAUUUUCUAUUUGUGUAUGAGCAGUUCAGGAUCACCAUUAAUUCCAUUUGAUCUAGAAAUUGAAAGAACCGCAAGUGCUCUCAUAAAAGCAGCUAGAGAAGCAACUUUGGACGGAGGAAUACAAGAAGAAGAGAAAUUAUCAAGUUCAUCUGACUCUGAAGAACAAGUCAUGGCAGUUGCAUAACCCUUAAUGAGGUACUACUGUAAACAGGCCGAUGAAGGACAAGUUUCUAGGGGGUUUAUACCGGAAGACCCUGCUAAUUUUGAUAUUAGAAAUUCUAUACUUUCAAGUUUAAGAGAAAAUAUGUUCGACGGGAAUGCGAUUAGAGACCCAUGGGCACAUCUUGCACGCUUCUAUAAAACAACUUCAAUGUGUAAACCUACCGAUGUCACUGAAAACCAGGUCAAGUUGAGGUUGUUUGGGUUCUCACUGAUUGGAAGGGAAAAAUAUUGGUUGAUUUUCCUUUUGAAUGGAACAAUCCAGACUUGGAAGGAAUUGAAGGAUAAAUUCCUUGAAAUAUUUUUCACUACUACUCAGUUUAUCGAGCACCAAGCAUAAGUUUUUAAUUUUGAGCAGCAGGAAAUUGAGUCAUGUUAUGAUGCUUGGGAAAGAUUUAAGCGUUUGUUGCGCAGAUGCCCAAAUCACAACAUGAAAAAUAUGGAGCAGAUGCAAAACUUCAUCAAAGGUCUCAAGAGUCAAACUCACAUGUUAUUGGAUGCUUCCACGAGAGGUAUUAUCCGUCAAAUGAUCUAAUCAUAAAUAAAAGACUUCAUUGAGAAGAUGUGUAUGAAUGACCCGUGCGAAAAGUGAAAGGUCAUUCAAGUUGGGAAUUGUGGGCUUGCCUAAAGAUACAUUACCUCUUGAUACUCAUACUUCUCUUUUAGCUCAAAUUGAAUUGUUGAAUUAAAAGCUAGCUGAAAGCAGUUUAGGUAGAGCUAAUGUGAGCUAGGUACAAGCACUUAGGUGCGAUUUCUAUGGAAGAGAACAUGUGUAUUAAAGGUGUUGGUUAGAAGGGACAAGUGAUGAGGUCUAGUUUGCUGAUUUUCAAAAGAACAACCUGUAUUUUAACACAUACAAUCCGGGUUGGAAAGACCACCCCAAUUUCCAUUGGAGUAAUAAUCAAUAUCCAAAUGCCAACCAAGGGAUGCAACAAAGCCAACAAGCUCCGUUUCAAAGGAAGCCAUCACAGUUGGAGGAAACCUUGCAGAAUUUCACUAAAGCUACUCAAAGUAGUUUUGAUCAGAUAAAUAAGAACCAUGAAGAAAUGAGUAAAAACCAGGAUGUGUCUAUAAAAAAUAUGGAGAUGAAGAUUGGUCAAUUAUCUAGGCAAAUAACUACUUUGCCAGGCUCAAGUGGAGGAUUCACCGGUAACACCGUAGACAAUCCUAAGAAUGAAACAUGCAAGGUUGUUAAUACAGGUUUAGGGGAAAUUAUUGAAUAGGGUAAAUAUGAGACAGCUAAAGAAGGUGCGAUGGAAAGAAAAGAGAGUGGAAAUCAAGGUGACAAAGAGGAAAGAGGAGUCACUCUUGAUCAAAUCAUUGAUAAAAACUCUCCUUGGAGAAGGACAAAGAAGCGAAUCCUGACUUAACUAAAUCCUCCUUUACCAGAUUAUAUUAAACCACCAUUCCCUAUAAUUAAGAAGAAACCGGUUCAAGAAGAUGAAUCAACGAUGUUUGCAAAGUUCAAGGAAAUGCUAGCUACUCUCCAGAUAAGUAUUUCGUUCCAUGAAAUUUUAGAACUCAUGCCUAAUUUUUUUAAAUUUAUGAAGGCAUUACUAAAGGGGACGAAAGGGAAAGCGUUCAAGGAGCAUGUAAGCAUGACCGAAAAUGAUGAAAUGGUAAUAUCUCAAGAUUUCCCACCAAAAUUAAAAGAUUCGGGUAAGUUUACUAUUUCUUGCAAUAUCGGUGAUGUGAAUAUUUUGUAUGCUCUAUGUGAUCUUGGAUGUAGCAUUCAUGCCACUAAAAACGGUAAAAGACUUGAAAGUGGGUGAGAUCAUACCGAGUAACACGAUUCUAACUCUAGCUGACUCAUCUCUUACUCAAUCGGUUGGUAUUUUACAUAAUGUGUUAGUACAUGUCGAUGGACUAGUAUUUCCUGUGGAUUUUGUUGUGUUGGAUACAAAAGGAGACUCAAGAGGAUCUGUUAUUCUUGGACGACCAUUCUUGGUGACCGGGAAAGCAAAGAUUGAUGUAGAAACGGGUGAACUUAUCUUGAAGUUCAAUAAAAAUAAAGUUGUUUCGAGGUGUAUGAUUGGACACCGUAUGUUGAGAAUUUGGAUACUUGCUAUCAUCUGGAGGAAAAAGGUAGCAAGGUAGAAAAAGGACGAAGAAGAAGUGAAUUGAUCGGCAUGAAGGUAUCCCUUGCGCCUGAUGUAACUUAGACAUGGACUGUCAAGCCAAUGAUGUAAAACAAGCGCUUGAUGGGAGGCAACCCAUCAGUGAGAAUUUAUUUUUAUGUUAUAGUGAAUUUUAAAUUUUUAACAAUGUUAUUUCUUGUGUUAUCAUGUGGAAGGAACUAUAGGUAAAGAAAAAAGAAAGAAAGAAGAAAAGAGAAAAAGAAAAGAGAGAGGAAGAUCAGCCCCUGGUAUCAUCAUUGCAACCUAUCACGUGUGUGAUAGGGCUCUAUCACACACAAGAUAUAGACAUCGCGCGUGCGAUAGAGACGUUGAGGAGACUCAUGGUACAUUAGGAUCAGGUACGUGAUACAUCUAUGACGUGCGCGAUAUUACCAUUUAUGAGAGAUGUAACACCCUUCUAAAAUACCCCAAAUAUUUAGUUAAAAUAAUAAAAAUAUCAAUCAGAGUAAUUAUGCCCCGAAGGGUGUCACACAAUCAUUUCACACCAUUCAUCAAAAUAUCCUGUCGAUGCUCAUUUAUUUAAUCAAAAUAAGGCACUUUGCAUAAUUCGCAGCGGAUACAAAAUAACAACAUUUAAAUCAUGUACUACAUUACAUGUAAAGUUGUUCAACAACCAAAAGAAAACAUAGUAAAACAUCCCGUCCCGAUGUCACAUCUACCAGAGCAUGACCCACUUAGGACUACACUAGACUCCAAGACUAGCUUCUAUUCAAUCACGCUCGUUACCUGAAAACAUAGUUGUAAGGGUGAUUCCUCAUCGAUAUAAUAAGCAUUAUAAAAUAUUCAUGUAAUGCUAAAGUAUAUAACACAUAUCAUCACCCUAAUCAGAUACACAUAUAUAGCACGGCAAAAUCAAAUCAUAAUCAUCACCAUCAUCAUACUCAAACUCAAAACAAUCAUAAAACACACGUAUAAUAUGGAAUACAUCCAUUCAUAUUACGCAAUACAUACAUAUAUUAGCAAUGAACUUCAUGCAUGCGCGGUACCGACUACUCGUGAACAUAUAGUUCAACCUCACCGACCAAAUCCAGGUACGGCUACCAAGCUCACUAGUCCCACUCAUUUGAGACCUAGUGACUCACUCAUACUAAUUCCUCCACAUGGGAAUUAGCUUACCACCCCAAGGGCUAUGCUAUGCACGCUAAAUCACCUAGCAUGCAAACACAACAACAAUCCACAAUAACUCAUCACUAAUUCCUCACCAUGGGAAUUACUACCACCAUAAAGCCACAACAUGCAUGCUAAUCACCUAGCAAUGCUACAUCAUCAACAACAAUUCAAGAAUAGAUAUAUGCUCACACUCUAAGCCAUAAAACAGUCUAUUCACAAAUGCACACAUAACUGAUACAUUCACAGCAUCAGCAUACUAUCACACCUCAUCAGUAAUUUAUCAACAUAAGCAUAUCAUAUCAUGCAAAUAACACCAAGUAUUAGCACACUCUACUAAUACCUAUACUACUCAAACAACGGGAAAUGAUCCCUAAUAUAUCAUUCAUCAUCUGAUUACGUUACUCAGCUGAACAGUUAAAAACUGCACAACAACAGCUCAGGAAAAUCACAAUCCUGCCCUACGCGUAUUGCCUAACCUCAUACGCGUAUGGCCCAUCUCCUGACCAAAUCCCAUACGCGUAACACCAUUCAUACGCGUAUGCUACGCAACACUUUCCCAUACGCGUACCAACAGAGACCAAACUACAUUCAAAACAUCAUCUUCCUCAUCCAUACGCGUUUAUUCCUAGUGCCAUACGCUGUACCAUCCAUCUCAUACGCGUAUUUGCCUAGUGCCAUACGCGUAUGACCAGAAACCAGAAUUUCCAGAUCUGCAAUGGCUUUCUCUGCUACGAGAUCUAUCCAUUCAACCUUCUACAUCCAAUUUACACAAUAACGUUCAUAUCAUCUAACACGAAUCAUAACCUAUUCGAUCUCACAAAUCCUAACACUAUUGCAUCUAAUUCCUACGAAUCCCUCAAUUGUAACUCAAUCAAUUUCGUUCAUCCAAGGAGUUCACAAUUUCAUCAUAAUCAUCCAAUUCAGAGAUCAUCAAUGUUUAUCACUACCCAUGACAUAUUAUUCCCAUAAUACCCAUUAAACGAUGAUAACCCCCCUUACCGAGUUAAUCCGGCAAUCUCUGAGCUUCAAAGCUUUUUCCUUCCUUCAACCCUUGUUCUCUUUUCCCUUUUCCACUUUCUGUCUCUUUUCCCUUUCACGUGAAAAAUAACCUUUUUACUAAAUGGACCUUUUUCUAACUUCAACUUUUUCUCCGUAUAAAAUAAAAUAAUGACCCAAUAAUAAUAAUUCCAAUAAUAAAAUCCAAUUAAUCAAUUAAAUUAAUAAAUAUUAUAUUAAUUUAAAUUAAUUAAUUAUCCUUAUUUCAUCGGGGUGUUACAAGAGACGUUGGGGUUAGUCGAUGGCAUGGUGCGCGAUGCAGGUAUAAUGCGCGGAUGUGCAACAAUUAGUUGGCUUAUAAAUAAAGAUUUUCCAUAUCACUUUUUCCUCACAAGUAUCUUCUACUCCUCUGCUUUCUACUUUGCACUCUAAGUUAUUUCUAUGUAAUUUUUUUCUUCUUUUUCUCUAUGUAUGUUGUUUUUGCUGUUGUUGUAGGUAUUAUGGUUUCCAAAAUAGGAUGUGUAUCAAGAGGAUUAUCAUCAAGGGCAGCCCUAACGCCUAGCACUCCAAACUUUCCAAACCUUAAGUUUUUCUCCGGGGAGCAUGCUGAAAAUUUUCUCAAGCUAGUGGAUUACCACAUUAUGAAGGAAAAAGCAUUUGAUUAAAUGAUUUGCGAGUUUUUGAGGAAAUAUGAGAGCAUUUGCAACAAAAGCAAUGUGUAAGUUUUAAUAAUUCGAUUCAUGAAUCUAAUAAGAAUAUUGAGUUAGAGUUUUACGCGAAUGCGACAUUUGGUCCUUCGGUUUCCUAUACCUCCUAUGUGUGAGGUAAGUACAUUGACUAUUCUCCUUCUUCUAUAAAUUCUCUUUUUAAUUUGCAACCUCCUCCGAUUUGUGCUCUCGUAAACUAAGGGCAAGAGCACAAGGUCAUAGACGAGGAAAUGACCCAGGUGUUUCUAGAUCUUUUUAGUAAACCAGAUGCGGCGUGGGUAAUCGAGUGUGGGUUAGAACUACGUCUCAAAACCGCAGAGUUCCACCAAAUUCCUAGGGCAUGGGCAUCUUAUUUUAUUUAAACUUUAGACGCCACAUCUAAAAAAUCACAAUUCAUUUUGAAGCAGUGUUUAGGUUUAUUAUCUCCCUUGAGGGGUGAACUGAUUAAUUUAGGGCGGUUAAUUGCUAAAAAUAUCAAAUAUAUGGCUAACGUUGGACAAAAGACUUGUGGGCAUUUUUGUGUGAAUAAUGAAUUAUGCAGGAGAACAUGUGUGCUAGUUUACCCUAAUGAUACGAUGCUCAAUCUAAAAGCACCGCUUAACGCUUUGGCAAUAAGGAAGUUGCAAAACAUGCAUCAAACAGAAGCUGGUCAAAAUGAUCAAGAAGAAAAUCAACAAGGUAAUGAGGAAGAAUUCAACCAACAACAAGAACAACAUCAACCACAUCCAAUGCAAGGUCAACAAGCACCAAAAUUUCAAAGAAGGAUGAAAGCUCACGCAGUAGGGGUUACAAGUUGUAUAACGGAAGUUUCACCCACUUUGUAUGUUGAACCUCCCAGAUUUGCACCAGUAUUUAGAGACUUCUAUGAAAAACAACAAGACCAUAUGUCGACUCAAAGCUUAAGAGCUCGAUUUGCAUCAUAUGAAGACAUGUAGAAUUACUUCACAAACCAAGAUCGAGAUCAAGAAAGGACAAUAGACUACAUGCGCACAGAAUGGACAAUGCAUAAUAAUGAAUUCAUCAACACAAUGCACGAUAUGCAUGAUCUUUUCUGCAUCAAUAACAUGUGAAGAGACAUGUAGUUUGAUUUUAUUUUUAGAAGACUUAAAUUUUUGUUUUUAUUUUUUAUUUUUAAGUGUAACCUAGAGAAGAGAAAUAGUUAUCAUAAGUGCUCUUCCUCUCCUAUUGUAUUAUCCAAAUCAUUGCUUAAUAAACAAGUUUGUAGUUGUUUAUGUUUUUUUUCCAGAUAUAAGUUUAACACUUUAGCAUUGAACAAAUGAUUCAAAAGAAACUUGAUCAUCACAAUAACAACUAGCAACUUGAAGGAGAAGGAUGAGAAAAGAAUCAACAGACUUGUACUCAACCUACAAAUACCUCAUCUAGUAAGAUUUGUGCCAAAUAUUUCCAUUAUUCACUUUUCUUUCUUUAUUAGUGUAUCCAUGCAUUACUCUUUUAUCUGGUUUGAUCUAUUUCUGAUAAAGUUAUCAUGUUUGAACAACACACACUAGGGAAUUUUUUUAUUUAUAACUUUGAGCCUUUAUAAACCACCUUUUAGUAAUAGGUAUAUCCAUUUCUAAACACUUUGAGCCUAACCCUUUCUUUAGGUGACUUAGCCUAAAAUUCUUAGUCAUAUUACUUGAAAGAUCUUUUCUUUCCACCAUCUCUUUGGAGUUAGGUAGAAGUAUAGUCUUAAAGUGUAUGAAAAAGAUUAAGUUUGAGGUUGCUCUUGGAAGUGAGAAAAGUUUUAAGUUUGGGAUUGGGAUACUAGAGAAUAUGAUCUAAAGUUUCAAAAAAAAUUGUUGUGAAAAAGAAGUGGUAAAAUACACUUCUUAAAAAAAAGACGAAUGAGAAAAGAAAAGAAUGAUAGUAUAAGAAGGAUCAAAACUCUCUAGUACUAGCAAAAAGGAACAUAGAGGUAUGAUAAUAGAAGGAUAACUAGGAACCUAACUCCAAACGUUUAACCUUACUUUCCUAAGAAUAUCCUACCCUAACAUAAGCCAAGUUACAACCUGAAAAUUCCUUUAAUGUAUGUGUUGUAAUUUCUAUGAUUGACUUUAUUAGAACAUGAUCAAGCUAAGUUUAAUUUAUUUAGUGUGUUGAUUGAAACAUCACCCUAUCCAUUGAGUGAGUUAUAGUGAGAUGAGAGACAAGUUCAAUACUCGUCAAUGUUGAGGACGCUUUUCCGAAUUCUCCGGAUAUAAGUUGGGAGCUAGAACAAUUGUCAGGUAAAAGAAAUAUUUAAUUUGGUGAUGUUCGAUUCUUAUUGUGUGACUUGUUAUCUAUAGAAAUGUGCAGUUGCAGGCGAGUUACUUGAGGACAAGUAACGAUUCAAGUUUGGGGUUGUGAUGGCAAUCAGUCAUUGCAUAUAUUUAUUCGAAGAAUCAGAGAAAAACAAGUGAAAGUCGAGUAAAUAUGAUGAAGAAUCACCAAAGAAUGAAGGGAAAAUAGCUAAGUGUGAAAAUUGUGGACUUGGUGAAAAUUUGAGUGAAAAGGAGUAAAAAGAGUGAAGCUUUAUAAAUAAUUACAUCCAUCAUCUCACAUGUGAUAAGGUAUUAAAAGUUGCAUCGCACAUGCGAUUGUCACUUUUCUGGGAAUUUUUCUGAUGUGUUCUGGUCCAUUCUGACGCCUUUAAAAGGGGAUUUUCUUCAUUUUCACAAGGGUUACGAUUUUGGGAGAUUGAAGCACAAAUUAGAGAGUACAAGUGGUGAUUUUUAGAGCAUUUGAAGCCAUUGGAGGCCAUCUCUUCAAGGGACUUCUUAUGUUAUCUGUGUUUAUCAAUUGUGGUAUCUUUUUCUCAACUAUUAGAUUCUAUGUUGAUUUGAUCACUGUAUGAACCUAUUGAACUAUAAUCUCAUUUAAUUGCUUCUUGUUUGUAAUGAAUUUUAUGUGAGAUACUCUUUUAAUCUGAUUUUGGGCACACAGGGAAUACUAACCAUUAGUCUUUAUGUUGGACCUAGGGCAAAUGUUAUACUUACACUGGUUGAAUAUGGAUAGGAGACCCCAAGUAAUGGCUUAAAGAAUUAACGUUUUAUACAUCUCCUAACCAUGCUUACGCUGACUGACUAGGAAUAGAAAGUUCCGAGUAGUGGUUAGUAAGUUAUUUCGUGAGGGAUCGACUAUAAAGGUUUUGUUAACUUGCCGUGAAGUUAUAAUGAUUAGAUAAUUCAUACCGGGCAUCAAAUAUCAACAAGAGAGAAAUAAGGGAUUCUACAACACAACCUGACCACUUUUGUGACAUUGUUUUCUCGUUCGUUUACUUUUCCCACUGAUACUUGAACCCCCCCCCCCCCCCACCCCUCUUUUACUAGUUUUUAUAAAUUGCACACAUUUUAUCUUGCUUGCAGGCAGUCCCUGUGGAUUUGAUCUUUUUAGUACUUUGACAUUAUCAGUACACUUACCGAGAAGUCAUCACCCUUCUAGAUAGUAGAUACAAAUCGUCCUCUUCAUCAUAACCUUAUUUAAACUCUUCUUCUCCAGCUUGAAGAGGUUUAGUCUUUUUAGGAUUGCCUUUAGACUUAAGAGACACAUGCUUUCCUUUCCUCUAGAGAUCAUCCUCUUCUAGAUAGAUCUCAUGAAUGUUUAGAAAUUUUAUAAUCUCUUUUAUAGUUGUGCUAUUCAAAUCCUUUGACACCUUAAGUGUUGUUACCAUUGACCACCAUUUAUUUGGCAGGCUUAUGAUGUUUUUCUUAACAUGAUCUGCAGUGGUGUAACCCUUAUUCAAAACUUUUAAUCCAACAACUAGAGUUUGAAACCUUGAGAACAUAUCCUCAAUAGUCUCAUCUUCUUCCAUUUUGAAAGCUUCAUAUUUCUGGAUCAAAGCCAAAGCCUUAGUUUCCUUCACUUUCUCAUUUCUUUCAUGAUUCGUCCUCAAAGAAUCAAAUAUAGACUUAGUUGAGUCUCUAUUUGUAAUCUUCUCAUACGCAGUAUAAGAAACAACAUUCAGCAAGACUAUUUUGGAUCUGUGAUGAUUCUUUUUGUUCUUCUUUUACUGAUCAUCCAUCUUGUUUCUUUCAAGCUUUACACCAUUUGAAUCCACGGGAUGUGUGUAACCAUAUACUAACAUAUCCCAUAUAUCUGUAUCAUAUCUAAGGAAGAAACUUUCGAUUCUAUCUUUCUAGUAGUCAAAAUUUUCUCCAUAAAAUAUUGGAGGUUUAGAGGAGUAAUGAUCUUUUUCAUUGUUGUUGGUAGAUGUCAUACUGUGUUUCUAAAAAUGGAUCUUUAUCUGACACGGUUAAGUGUUUGACACAAAAAGUCAAUACCAGAACCGGAGCUCUAAUGUGAAUUGAAGGUUCAAGAAACACAAGAAAAAGGAGCUUGAAUUGGGUUUCAGAUAUGACAACUUUUUACAAACCAAUGGAAAGAAUAACAAUGAUAAAAAUACACAAGAUCUUUAUACUGGUUCACUGCUAACUAAGUUAGUAUAGUCCACUCGUCAGAGUGAUUUCUCUUUCUCACAAGGACUUAAUCCACUAAUCAAUCAGAUUACAAACUCAAAGACCAACUAUCAAUGACUUCUCAAGGAUACAGACUAAACUUAGUUCCUCAAGGAAUUUAACCAAAGUUACAAUACCAAGAGUGUGUGCUUACAAGAGUGCUUCUAAACAAGCAGAUACACAAGAUAAAUUUCAGAGUUUACACUUAAGAAAAUAUACAAGUAAAAUAUCUAAGUGUAGUGAGUGUUGUAAUUGUUGUUUUCUCUCAUUUGUUGUUCUUCUUUUACACACAUUGUUAUUGUUCUUAUUCUUCACUUCUUCUUUUUUUAUCUUCAUAAUUCCUUGUACUCUUAAAAUAGGUGAUGAAUAGUAUAAUUGGAGGAUAUAAUUGGAAAAUUAUUCAAUUUAAAGUUGUAAUAAUGGUACGAGGUUGAGCCGUGAACUGUGGAGAUAUGUUGGUAGUACAUUCCUUAAUAAUUUCAUCAUAUUUAUCCUUUUGAGGAAACAUUUAAUUUUUACGCUUGAAUGUACUAUUUCCAAGGAUAUUCUUUCAACCUUAUUCUCUAAAUCAAUGAUUUUUUAUUUGAGAUGAUUUGAAGCUUGAUCAGAGUUCAGAGCCUUAAAGAUUAGACUUUAGAGUCUAGUGAAAAUUUGGCUUGGGUUAUCAGAGUAAAUAUGGAUUGUUUAUUCUGGAAGCGUUGACUUGGUUAUCCAUAUGGUUGACUAUUAGUUAAACACUUAUUCAUAUUUCAACCUUCCUUUAGAAUAUAUUAAAGUCCAGAGUCCAUAGUCUAAUUUUUUAAAGUCCAGAGUUUCUUGUCCAGAAUCCAGAGUCUUCUUUAUCCAUAGUCUACUCUAUCCAUAGUCUAAUUUAUCCAGAGUUCACUUGGUCCAUAGUCCAUAAUCGGCUUUCCUUAUCAUUAACAUUAUGAACUUAAUGAGUUAUUAGUAUAAAAAAUUAUUCUUUAUAAUUUCUUAUCAUCAAAACUUAAGGAUUAUAGAUGUAGAAUAAAACUUGUUCCAACACCCGUAGCACCUGCUACGGGCCGUAGCAACUAACCCUAAUUCUCUCCCUUUUUGAAGCACCCAUACAAGUUUCCAUGGGCCUUCUACAACCACCUGUAACAACUUCUACGAGCCAUAGCAGGGUGCUAAGCUCUCCCCCAAUUUAUUUACUUUUCCGACUCGAUUUCAUCUGUUUUUGGAUUUUUGCGUGUUUGAAUUUGAUAUUUUCUGAUGUAAUGGUCAUUGAUUAGUGGUAUUUUAGUCAAUGAUUAUAAUUUUCUAUAAAACUCACAAUUGAUCUUGAGUUUAGGGAUCCCAAUUUUAUUUCUCCUAGUUUUCACAUAUUUUUAUUUUCUCUAUACUCAAGUCUCCAUUGGAGCACUGGAUCAAGGUUUUAUUUAUCGUUUUCAUUGCAAUUCCCAAUCUAUUUCAAUUGUUUAAUAUGAUUUCGACUAUUAAUAUUGAUUUGAUUAUGUUAUCCCUCACCAGAAGUGACUAAUCCAUUAGGGACUGACAGGUAUGUGGCUUAUCUCAUGUGUAUUUGUGUGAUCCAUCAAAAAUCGAUUACGAGAGUCUUUGUUCAUAUUUAUUUUAAUACCUAAGUCCAUGCAUUCCAACUCUUGUACAAAACUAAAGAGUUCUCAGGUGUCGAUCAUAGUCUGAAAGGACAUGUAUCGGUACCAAAGCAUAGGUUUUUAGACAACCGAGUCCAAUACAACGAAGGUGAUUGGAUGAGGUUGAGAAAAGUUCCAAUUUUUAUAUCUGUGCAAAAGUAAAAAAUCCUUGACAAAUAAUCUGGUUGUGCGAAAGUAGACAAAUUAUUCUUCAUCGAUAGGGAAACAUGCUGGCGAAAGCAGGUAUUGUCCAUAUUUAUCUAUUUUCCAUAAAUUAUGUCAGAACUCUCAUAAUAGAAGUGAAUUGGAUUGUACAAAUAUUUUAGAGUAAGAAUUGUGGCCCUAAGUCCUCUUUGCUUCAUUAUAGUUUUAGUUAUUUUUAUUUAAGUUAUUUUUCCGAUAAGUGCUUUUUAAAUAAGCUAUUUUACAAAACCUCAAUAUAUGAUAUCCCUAGAUAUACAUUGAUAGAACAUAAUUCGGUAUUCAAUCCAUUGGUCCUUAUGGUUCGAUAAUUUUUUAUUACUUCGCACAGUCGUGCACUUGCGGCGUGUCAGUGGCACACAUAAAAUUGUUAUGGAUUUUGUUUUGCACUUUGAUAAGAAUUCGUGAGGAAAGAAGUCUAGUUUCUUAGUGAGGAAACAUAGUGAAAAUGAGCUUGAUGAGGUUGUUAAAGAAACUAAACUUUUCUGUCAAGUGGUGAGUAAAAGGCUGAUGAGUGUUGUAAAAGAGGAAACAACAAUUCCAAAAUAAGUGUUAGGGAUCCUAGAGGAUUUCAAGGAAUUGACCUCAUAUGAGAUACCAAAGUAUUUGCCUCCUAUGCGACAUAAACAUUAAAAAGUGAAAGCUUUCAAUAUGGGAGAUAAUGUGAUGAUGUUAAUGCAUAAGGAGAAGUUUCCAUUGGUACUUACAACAAGCUGCAACCACGCAAGUAUGGCCCAUUCAAAGUGACCUGAAAGAUCAAUGAUAAUGCUUAUGUGGUAGCUCUCCUGGAUUUAAUGAAUAUAUCUAAUACUUUCAAUGUUGCUGAAAUUCAUAAAUAUGAAGUAGAUGAGUCUAUUUAUCAAGAAGAGAAAUUGGGAUCGAGUUCUUCAAAGGUAGAUGAGACUGAUGUAAGAAGGCUUUUUAAGCCAUUUGAGUUUGUUUCAUGCCCCAAAAUAGCAUUUUAAUACUUUCCUCAAUUUUCUAUUUUAUUUUAUUUUUUUGGAUUAAAAUCCCAUUAGGGUUUUUUUUUCUAUUUUAUUUAUGUUUUAGAUUAAAAGCCCAUUAGGAUUUCUUUUUCUGUAUUUAAACACCUUUGGGUGUGACCGUCAAGCUUACAAUCCUGUACUUUUGUUCUAGGUUUAGCACUUGCUAAUUCGUAACUACGUCAAGAGUCUGAUUGGAUUGCUUUCUCUUGUUCUAAGUUGGUCAGGGACAGACAGAAGACCAUGUUUUGGCUUGAUCUCUGGGUGGGGUUCACCCCUUUGAGUGUGUAUUUUGAGAUAUUAUUUUUUCUCUCAAAGCAAAAGUCUUAGUUGGUGGGUUCUUUGGGUUCUUGGGUAGUGGAUGCAUAAGUUUGGAGUUUUGGUGGAGACAGUCUUUGUGUUAUGGAGGAGGAUCUUCUUGAGGAUUUUCUAGAUCUUAUCUCGUGAGUGGUUCUAUAUGAUCAGGUAGAUGUUUGGGUUUGGAAGCCAGUUACAUCUAAUGGCUUUUUGUCAGUUCAACUUAUGCUAGCCUUUCGAUUUUGGAGGGGGUUAGGGAUUACGAGUCUAAGAGGGGCUUGAGGGGGCUAGCAAAGGUAUGGAAGAGUUGGACGAUUGUGAAAGUCGUUGUGCUCUCUUGGAUGUUGUUAAAGAAUAAGUUAUCGACUUGUAAGAAUCUUCUAAGGCAAAAAACUAUGUAUGGCUCUAGCAAUGUGGGGAAUAUUAUGUGUGUCGGGUAGAAGAAGCCGUCUGAUCAUGUUUUCGUCUUGUGUGAGGUUGCUUCAACCAUUUGGUAUAGAGUUUUUAUAGGUGGGUGGCAAGGCAUGGACCUCUUCCGCCGUCGGUUUUAGGGAUGUUCGAGUUGUUUCAGGGUCUGGGUCAUGGGAGAAAGGCGUGUUUGGGCUUGGCGUCGAUCUAACAUUUUGUGGUCCCGACUAUUUAGAAAAUGCAUAACAUAGAUAUUUUUGGUCAGGAAAGCUUGUUGAUUAAUUAAUGUAGGUUCUCUAUUAUUAGCUUGGCUUAGAAGUGGGUACAAGUCCAUGCUUUAGGUUUUGUAGUUUCUAUGGCACUUCGAUUUUUGUAUCUUGGGCAUCUUCAUCCCUAUACAUGUUGCCAAUUAGAAUCUCAAGCUUGGAACCAUCAAGCUUACAGGAAACAUAUCCUUUAGCUUGCCCUCAUAUGACAAAUAUUUAAUAUUUUUCUCCCUUUCAACCAUUGCCUUUUGAUUUUUGUCAUACACUCGUAUUGUUUGAAUCCCUUUGUUCCUUAUUCAUUGGGUUGCAUCACAAACUAAGUCAUACAUUUUCACUGUCCAUGGAUCGAGUUCCAACAAUAAACAAGAACCUAAGAGUUUAUUUUUGGAUAUAAUUACCUGACUUCUAGCAUCUUUGUAGUUGCCAUAAUCUUCCCCAAAAGAUGUCCUCUAAUGACAAAUAUGACUAACCUUUCAAUAAGAAUAUCUUCAUCUUCUCGAAAUACAUAACACAAAUGAGUAGAUGUAUUUGCCUUUUCAUUAUUCAUAUUAUCGUAGCUAAACUUCAAGCAUUUUUAAAUUUUAGAAAGUUAGUCAUCAACACCCUGCAUGGACAUAUGUUUUUGCAAGGAUUUUAAGGCCACAUCUCACCAUCCCGAUGUUGCUCGUCCUUUAAACUACUAGUGAUAACAUCAAUUGCAAUAGGUAACGUUUUGAAUUCAUUUGUAAUUUUAAGGCCCUUGUCAAGAAAAAAUUUAGUCGAAGAUUCACUUAGACCAACACACCUUUCGAACAUGAUCCAUGCGUCUUCUUCAGAUAAGAGAUCUAGUUGGGUUGUCUUAAUGCAUCCUAGUUUUUUGUAGACCAAUAGACUCUGUGUGGUUACAAUAAUCCUACAAUCUUUGUUGAUUAAUUAAUGGAUAUACUCUAUUAUAAGCUUGGCUUGGAAAUGGGUACACGUUCAUGCUUGGGAUUUUGUCGUUUCUCUGAUUGAUUGAGAGUGGGACUCGCUCAUUUGGCUAAUAAAUUAAGGAUGUGUUGGGUGGUCAGUUACACUCAUUUUAUUUGUAUUUUGUAUAAGUGAUUGUGUCUUCCUUUUCCAGCUUGAUAUCUAUGGAGAUCUGUUAUAUCGAGAUUUCAAUUUAGCUCUUUUUUAAGAAGCGAAGUGCUUUAGUCACUCAGGAGGAUGUGGUGGUUUGUUCUCUCCCAUGUUUGUUUUGUGUUUGUUUUUCUGAAGUUGUAUUGAUUUUGAUUGUUGGAUUGUUAGAUUUAGUUCUUUUUUUUCCAAUUUUAUUAUUUUUUAGCACAACAUGGUCCACUAGUUUUAUUCUUCUUUUUCUUUUUAAUAUAUCAGUCUGUUUUUUGCUAUUAAUUUUUUUUAAUGAAAAAGACAAGAAAAAAAAUAGCACAUUCCUAACAAUCCGUUACAAACAAAUAAUUGUGAUUGUGAGUAGUGUAGAUAUUUUGAUAAGAUGCCUUCAAAAAAUAAAACAAAAGAUAUUUUGAUAACAUGGUUGGUUGGUUUUGAGCCAAGUAUUCCUCUUCACGUGUCUCAUUACUAAACACAACCACACUUUCUUUCUUGUUUCCUUUUAUCAUUCCAAAUUAUUUAUAACUAAUCACAAACUUUGCAACUUGCUCACUCACUUAAAAAACACACACUCAUACUCUCCUUGUUACCUUACCUUUUCCUUUCUCAUUCCAAAUAAUUUUUCCUCUGUAUAUAUAACUCACCUUACACUUCAGUCUUACAAAAAAAAAACUGUCACCAACUCUCACUUUUCCACUAAAAAAUUCAUAAUUCAUCUUUCUAUUCACACACCCAUUUAUCUAAGUUCCUCUUCUUAAUCAUACUCCAUUUUGUUUGUAAAACAAUCAAAAUUCAAAACUCGUCACCCGGUGUAUAGGGGUGUGAAGAAGAGGAACUUAAAUAAAUGUGUGUGUGAAGUGAGAGAUAGCAGCCCUAGCCCACACCAUGUUGAUGCAAUGACAUUGAGGAGCCACUACGCUUGUAUAAGUUUGUCUGUCUUGUAAGAAGUGAUGAAUAUUGAUCUAGAAGACUUUUAAGCUGAUGAGCUUGUAUAACUACAAAACUUUUAAAUUCCAUGUGUUUUGUUUCAAAGUAUAAUCUAGUCUAUCUUUUUUUUUUGGUAAAGUCUAUCUCUGUUUUCUUAUUGGAAAGUAAGGGUACAAAAGAAUAAUGAAUGAGUGAACCAAAUAUUUAAGAUUACAACAUGCACAUGGCCUGAAAGUCAUUCCAUAUGUUCUGCAGUAGUACUCUAUUCAUUUUUGAAUAUAAGCGCAAAACAUUUUUAAUUUUAAUAGUUUAAAACUUAUUUUACCUCAUCUCACCAUUCAUGCAAAAAAAAAUUAUUAUUUAAAUAUUGACUUCGCUAUAAUACAAUAGUGAUAUACUUAA